AUUGAACGCUGGCGGAAUGCUUUACACAUGCAAGUCGAACGGCAGCACGGGGGCAACCCUGGUGGCGAGUGGCGAACGGGUGAGUAAUACAUCGGAACGUGCCCAGUCGUGGGGGAUAACGUCGCGAAAGUUACGCUAAUACCGCAUACGAUCUACGGAUGAAAGCGGGGGACCGUAAGGCCUCGCGCGAUUGGAGCGGCCGAUGUCAGAUUAGGUAGUUGGUGAGGUAAAGGCUCACCAAGCCGACGAUCUGUAGCUGGUCUGAGAGGACGACCAGCCACACGGGGACUGAGACACGGCCCAGACUACUACGGGAGGUAGCAGUGGGGAAUUUUGGACAAUGGCCGCAAGCCUGCUCCAGCCAUUCCGCGUGCAGGACGAAGGCCUUCGGGUUGUAAACUGCUUUUGUACGGAACGAAAAGGCUCUGGUUAAUACCUGGGGCUCAUGACGGUACCGUAAGAAUAAGCACCGGCUAACUACGUGCCAGCCGCCGCCGUAA
rnacentral:rRNA from 1 species